AUGGAGACGAACAAGCACUCAUGGCAAUUAGAGAAUCCGAUGAGGAAUCGGAGCUGUUGCGUAGCAUACACGCUCUUCGGCACACCAGAAACUGCUAAUUCUGCGCAGUUCAGUUGUGAAGAACAUUCCAGAAUCAGCAACAGAAAUGAAAACUUUUACUUUCUACUGUGGGGGGUUGAAAAUCAUGGGUUGAGUUCGAAACUUGGUGCUUCUGCCACAGUUUGGUUCUCCCUGUACUGCAGUGUUCAUCUUCAAGACUGGUUGGAAAUUGGUUUAACUGAAUUAGCUGCAGUCACUGCAGUGUUUCAACUAUCAGUUACACCAACUGCAAGAAUGUGCACAGUUGGGAAAGGUUUUGAGCUGCAAGUUUACUUAGUUGCAGCAUUUUUGUACAUCUUUGGAGUUGGCAGAAGGAUUUGCUACAGUCUUGGGUUGAAUUUAGAGGGUGUUUCACUGCUGAACUUUGGUCAGCUACUGCUUGGUUUGAAACAACCUGAGGACAAUUUUGUGAGCUUGAAACUUUGGGGAAAUUGGCUUCAGUUGGGUACAAGGAGUCAUAAGGGAGGUAUGGAUGGUUAUGGCACUUCUUCUUAUGAAACUAAUUGUGCGUCUCCAAGUGUUGAAAUCUUUUAUGAUGAAAGUGGGAGAAAGAUAAAUUUGAGGCAUUAUCUAGCGAAUGUAGAAGGCUAUGAAGAUAUCCUUUUGAGACACUUAUUUCUUGUUUGCUCUUUUUUUGGUGUACAUCUGGAUUAUCGUUGCUUCUUUCUCUUUGUUUCUUCAACAACCUUCCUUUGUGUUUUCGUCUUUUCCAUAUCAGCUUUGUAUCUGAAGCUUUUUAUGGACGAUUCUGGAACUAUUUGGAAAGCUAUCAAAGAAUCACCAGCACUUGUGGCAUUAAUGGCCUAUUGUUUUGUUGCACUGUGGUUUGUUGGAGGUCUAACUGGCUUCCAUUUGUAUCUCAUAGGUACAAAUCAGACCACAUAUGAGAACUUUCGUUAUAGGGGAGAUAACAGGAACAAUGUGUAUAACCGGGGAUGCAUUAGCAAUUUUCUUGAAGUAUUGCUCAAGGAUAGAACCUCCAAAAAUCAAUUUUCGUGGAUAUGUACAGGAAGAGGCAUCAAAGCCUCCUAAGAGUAACGUUCAAGAAACAGAAAUAGAUAUCCCUGAUGGGGUACGCAAAUUAAGGUGGAAGACGAUCUUGAUAUUGGAGAAGAUAUUAUGAAGAUAUCUCAACGACGUAAUUCUGAGGAAGUUGGUGAUGUUAGAGGUACAGGAAGUGACAGGUCACCCAUUGGUCGUUCUGAGGUUGACUUUGGAUUUGGUCUAGAGUCUCGUGCUUUUUUUGUAUAUAGGCCUUCGUAUAGGAUAGGAUCAUUUUACCUCCAGACCCUCUUACUAGCCGGGACAAAACAAGUGGAAAAAAAAAAACUAAAAUUCAAUAUCACCAAUGUUUUCAACGACUCCUACUUCCUUCUGCUGGCAUUAUUUGGAGCAAUCAGAAGGAUGUUCAACUGAUCAUUUAUUGAGAUUUAAAAAUGUAACACGAUACUUAUUGUUAGCCAUGAACAUGCACUGGCGUGCUCUUUCUCAGGCUUCUCUGGCUCUUCUUGUUCUCGUAAGGUAUGAUAUGACAUCUUUGUUGGAGGGAGUGGAUGGUGGCUUUUACAAUCAUUUGCUGGUUAUAAGCAA